UGCGUAGGUGGCGCCGUAAGUCGGGUGUGAAAUUUCGGAGCUUAACUCCGAAACUGCAUUCGAUACUGCGGUGCUUGAGGACUGGAGAGGAGACUGGAAUUCAUGGUGUAGCAGUGAAAUGCGUAGAGAUCAUGAGGAAGACCAGUGGCGAAGGCGGGUCUCUGGACAGUUCCUGACACUGAGGCACAAGGCCAGGGGAGCAAACG
rnacentral:rRNA from 1 species